AAGGUUAGCUUCAGUGAUAAUGAAACAACUUACUGCCGACUGUGCGGAAGAUCAGCUGUUCAUUUUGUGCGCUAUAUUGCAGGUCGAACGCGGCAGUCAUUUGUUUAUCGUGCUUGCACCCGUUAAAGCUAAAAAAUUGUAUUUUCCUCAAUGAUAAAUAUUUGUGCUGUGUGCACGUAAAACAAACAUUUUCACUAUGGAUUUAGUUUCAAGAGGUAUGUACUAAUUUAAAAAUAUAUAUUAUUUUUAAGUCAUUAAUUAUAGAUGUUUUUUUCUAAUUGAAUUCAUACUGAAAAUGUUUUAUAAAAUUGUAAAAUUUGCUUUAAAAAUAGAGAUAAGUUACGAAUUCCACGACAUUCCACUUUCAUUUACAUUUUGUUUGUAUGUAUAUAGUAUUAUUUUUGUAAUUUAACACUUACUAAUACCUACUCCACUUUUAAGCCAAGUUUUAAAUCACAGUUGCAAAAUGUCGUUAUUGAGACAUCUUAAAAAAUAAAAGUAAAAUUAUUUAAUUAUGAACUACAUUUGUACAAAUUUAAUUAUAAUUGAUGUCUAGAAGCAUUAUAAAGAAUAUUAAGAGUAGAAAAGGAUGGGAACACUGCUUUAUCCUAUACAGCGAGAUGAAUAACUUAGAAAAAGACAGUGAUCACCACACACACCGCUUCACAGUGAUUACCAUUUUCCAAUCAUCAAGAAAUGAUUGCAUUCCCUUUUUUUCUUGUUUCAUAUUUUGAACUAAAUAUUUAGUUAUUUUUUUUAAUGACAAUAUUAAUAGGAAAAAAUAUUUUUCCUUAAAAAAGUUACUAACUCCAUAAUUAAAUUAGGAAGAAAAUAGAUAUAAAUCGAAACACAUAGAUUGGACAUACUACGUGCAGAUGUUUUUUAACGCUUAAGCCGUGGUUACAGACUGUCGAAAUAAGACUUAUUACAAAAGAAUAUUUUGCAAAAGAUUGGAAAUGGAUAGAAUUCAUUUAAUGGCAGUUUAUCAGAUAUACUGGUUGUCAUGUAUGGGCGUUCGAAAAAGAGAUCUUUAUUAUAACAAAAGAAUAUUUUGAAAAAGAAUUUUUAUUCGAUAAAGUUUUUCGUUUAAAUUUGAUUUUGCAAACAAUUUUCAAGUGAUCAAAGAACAUUUGGAAAAGUCAAUGACAGAAAAGAUUGGAUAUGUAGUUUCAAUUUUCAACGACAUAAGACCUACUAUUUCUAUUUUAAUGACAAAGUUUAGAAGCAAAUAUAAAGAAGCAGCUCAACGAUAAGAUUACUUUUUCAAAAUAAACAAAAACUGGUUAAAAACUUUAGUAAAUUUUCAGAUUGAUUCAAAACGUGCAACUGUAAAUAAAUUGACAAGACGGUCCACCGAAAAUUUUAAAAUUUUAUCUGAUAGGUCCAAAAUAAGGAGAACUAAAGAGAUACGUACAAAGCUCAAUCGUGCCAAAUUAUUGUUCGCUACGCAAAUGAGCCUAUGAUCUUCAGGUCGUUCAGGCGCUGCAAAGAUUGUAAAUGACGUUACACUGUAAAUUCCAUUCAAGGUAACAAAAUACAAGGAAGGUAUGCAACUAUCAUUAUUAUUGUCAAUCUUCUAUGAUGCAAAUGAAGCUGUAGCACUUCUAUUAGACCUAGAUUUGACGAAAUAUUUUUACCAGCAUAUUGCAAAAAAUAGAUGCUUAAAUACACUUUAUCCACUAUACUCAGCUGUAUUGGCAGCAAAAACAUGUUGCUACCCUCCAGGCGACACCUUAAUUUUACCGAAUCAAAAGUUUAGGUACAGUUUUAAGCUUUAUUAGACCACACCGUUCAACGUGUUUUACAGCAGAACGAAGACAAUAUUGCAUAUAAGAGUAAUUCAGAAAUAUUGAAUAUGACUUUGAUUAGUGGGGCUUUGACGGAACUUUCAGACAGAGCAUUUAAAAAAUGACUUUUGAAGAUCCGAUUAUAUAUCAUGCAAAUUUAUUUUUUACUUUGCUUGUUUUAUUGCAAUUUUUAGAUGUAAAUCAAGAAACGAAAGAAGAAAAUCUCUUAUGGAAUAAUCCAAAACCCUUUUUUGCAGAUCUCUGAAAUUGCGAUUAACAAAGGAAACCGAGGAAAGUUUUUUAAAUGAGAAAACUCAUUUUGACACUCACAUCGAACAACUCCAACCAUUUAAAACAACCAUUCAUAUGAAAAAUGUUUUCAUUCGAUACAAUUUAAGUAUGAUCAUGAUAGAUGGAAAUUGUAUGCAAUGCUAUUUUAAACACAAAAUCUGCGCACCAGUGUUAUCUCUGCAGAUCAACUUCCAAGCAAUUUAAUGACAUUGAUGAAGUUUUGCAAAGACCGUUGAUAAAGUUCGGCAAAAAUUGGUAACCACUGAUUAUCUACAGUACGGACUGACAGCACUGUAGAUAAUCGAUAAACUCUACACGCCUGGAUUCGAUAUUUUGAGUACUUUAUUUAUUUGGGAUACAAAAAAAAAAAAAGAAGAAAUGGCAAGCGCGUAAACAAGAAUUUAAGCAGUAAAAAGCAACAAUGAUAGCUGCAUCUACAAGGCUUUCAAACAGCAACUAAGAAUUUUAGUCAACAUGCCAAAGCAAGGGUUGUACAGCACGUUCGAAGGAAAUGCCGCUUGAGGUUUCUUUGAAAACAACUUAACGUCACCCUUGAUAGUUAAUGUUUCUGAAGAACUAAUCUACCGUUUUCAUAUAAUUUUGCCAACACUUUCAAGUGGACAUGAAAUCAACGUUGAAAAGUUUUGAGAUUACGCCUAAGCAACUGCAAGACACUAUCAAAGAAUAUCCUUGUACAACAUGCCAACAUCAGUACAAAGAUUGCUGAUCCACGGAUUUGACAUUAUUUCUUCGGCCAUUUUUUCCAUGGGUCAACUGCCCGAGGAUGCUCAAGAACAAACCAAUAAGCUAAUAAAGCAAAAUCGUUUGGGUUUUUUAGGAAAGUUUUCAAGAGUUAAGACUAUGGAAGACGUGUUCAGGAGAUUGUUGGCAACCACAGACCUUUACAUUUCAUCUCUACGAUAAUCAACACUAAAAAAAAUGGAAGACAGCCAGCAGCUGCUGCCCCCUUGGUUCCUGUAGCAAAAGAUUAUGAAGACUCUGAUGCAGAUGCCGAGGAAACAGACUUUGGAUAUAAUUUAACUUCAACGAAGAAACGGGUGAAAAUGAAAAAGAACCAGAAUGAUUGUAACUGAAAUAAAACGUUUUUUUUUUUUUAUAUUUAACACCAUUCUCCGUCAUUUGAUCCAUUUUUUAGCUUAUAUAUACACAUUGAAUCCAUCAUUUUGUUUUUUAUUUUUUUAAUAUAAAGUUUUUUUUUUUUUUUUAUAUAUAUUUAUGUCAAAUUUUGUGGCCUGAAAGCACCCUUAAAAACCCAUUUAUAAAAUUUUUUAACAUAUAUCUCUGCCAUAUUGGAUCCGCCAUAUUGUUUCCGCCACUUUUGUUCUUUUUUUUUUGCGAAUUUUUAAUCAGUAACUUCGAAACAUAUUUGCCAUGUAAUUUCAGCCAAAUCAAAUAACGUUUUUAUAUUUUGACCAGGUUUUUCGAUAUCUGACUCACUGUGCGGCGCCCCAAUAACGUCGGCGCUGUCAAAAACGGUCUAGAACAGCCCCUGACAUAUAUAUCAGUGACGGAUCCAGUGGUAGUAUGGCAAGGCGGAUGUUGAAAUAUUUUUGUAUUUUGUACCCUUUUUGCGUCUCCUAAAAAUAAAAAGGUCCUACCUUUAUAUAUUUUAGGACUUUUAAAUUCUGGGUAGGGGGGUACCCUAUCCCCGCUAAAUCCGCAUACCCCCCAUCCCCGCUAA